UACGAAGGGGGCUAGCGUUGCUCGGAAUCACUGGGCGUAAAGCGCACGUAGGCGGCUUUUUAAGUCAGGGGUGAAAUCCUGGAGCUCAACUCCAGAACUGCCUUUGAUACUGAGAAGCUUGAGUCCGGGAGAGGUGAGUGGAACUGCGAGUGUAGAGGUGAAAAUUCGUAGAUAUUCGCAAGAACACCAGUGGCGAAGGCGGCUCACUGGCCCGGUACUGA
rnacentral:rRNA from 1 species